rnacentral:lncRNA from 1 species
GUUUGGAGGCUAAGUAUAUAUCCAGACGAUGUCCCAACUUACAGAGAUAAAGUUUGGAGCUGAGACAAAAGGAUGGACCAUCUAGAGAAUGCCAUAUCCAGGGAUCCAUCUCAUGGUUUUACUUUUAAUUCAACCAUCUAGAAUGAGAAAAUCAGAGUUAAGGAGUUUUAGAAGUUCACUUGUGGACAUUAAACUACCUAAAAACAACUAGAAUGAAGCAGAGCUACUUUGAAACCAAUUAUGAAAGAAUACAGAAGAAAUGAGAUGAAAAUGUACAAGCAUUUAUGAGACAGUCACCAGGGAAUAUAACUCCAGAUCUGGCAAGACAAAAAUGGUGAAAAUAUUAUGAAAGAACGUGCAAAUGUACAUUAGAUCUUUGAAUCGACACCUGUGAAGAAGCAAUGUGAAUGAAACCAUAUUAAAGAUGUAACAGCUGAGAAACUGGCAACAGGUUAUUACGGAGCUGCUUAUGAAUACUCAAAGAUGAUGCUGAGCUAGGAGAAAAAGUGUAUACAGUAGAAGAGAGGACAACUGGAACAGUGCAUGCAUCUCCAGGACCUAUAGCCAGCUAAGUAACCUGCAGUGUAUGACUUGUGCACCUGUUGUUUGGGAAUGAUUUUGGCCUUGGUCAAUGGCCUUAAUGAUCAGGUUGCCUGCGAGGGCAUCACACAAUUCUUAACCUCUCUAUGGACUUCAAGGAUCUUCAGAAAAAGAUUGAUUUGAGUUCUCAAGGUUCAGCAAGGUUUGAACUUCUUACCCUGGUGUUAGAAGGGUAGUGUCUUCUGAGAACUCGCUAUACACAGGAGCAGCAUGCUGAGAAAACAUCUUCCUCUCUUAUCUACUGUCCAUUGUGUGUUCUGAGUUGUACUAUAAAUACACUGGAGAAGGGACAGUCCAGAAGAAAAAACUCUGGGUAACUGCAGUAACCAUAUGAAGAAGAUAUGAAUAGCACCUACUGAGGACCAGUGAUGGCCAUUGUCCAUCACCUGAUUCCAUAUAGAGUCUAUCAAGUUUCCAGAAAGAAUGGCUCCACUGCAUGAUUCCUGUCUGGUGACCUCUGUGAAGAAAUUGUUUGACCCUUAAAGGAACCGUGAUCCAUAAGUUGAAAACUCCUAAUCUACUGAAUAUGUUAGCAUUCCAAGAUUCUUUCAUUGUUGAACUUAGAUCUUAGGAUGAGGGAUGCAGCACUGAAAAAGCGGCAUGCAUUUGUUUGACGCAGUGGUGUCUCGUUGAUGGUGAAUGAGCAGGAAACUCCAUCUUGCUCAUUGGCUAUGAAUUUGAGCCAGCGCUCUAUCUCAGUCUCCAAGUAAGAAAGUCACUAGACAGAACACAGAGGGAUUCGAAAUAUCUUCUCAUUAAGAGAUGAGGAAUGAGAAAAAUCGUCCCCACAAUUUCAACAAAUUGCUCUGUACUGCAACCUCGCAAUCAAGAAGCAGCGGAAAACAAAUUAUGAUAUUUACAAAGUGUUCUGUGUCAACCUCUGCCACAUGGAGCCUCUUCUUGGAGUAUCCAGCCACACGGGCUCCUAGUUCCCUCCCACCAUCAGGGAACCACCUUCUCUCCAUUACAUGUGAACAAGCCAGGUUUAAUAGGCAGGCUUUUCUCGACUGGCACCCAUUACUUU